rnacentral:lncRNA from 1 species
UUAAACACAAAGGUUAGGGUAAGAAACCACUAAGGUACCGUUGCUUCAGCAUCGUCCUGCUGUUGUCGCGGCCAUUGGAACAUUGCUAAGUGUUUGGCUCCUGCCGCGCACCAAUCAGCAGCUUGUUCUCGGAUUAGCUCAGUUAGUUGCAGAGGAUUUCUUUUUAGGGCUCUAUCAAAGUUUCUGUCGUUGCGCUGUUUCCAAAUUGUUCAGGAGAUCAACA